rnacentral:rRNA from 1 species
GGAAGCAGGGGAUCGUAAGGCCUUGCACUUUUGGAGCGGCCGAUGUCUGAUUAGCUAGUUGGUGGGGUAAGGGCCUACCAAGGCGACGAUCAGUAGUUGGUCUGAGAGGACGACCAGCCACACUGGGACUGAGACACGGCCCAGACUCCUACGGGAGGCAGCAGUGGGGAAUUUUGGACAAUGGGCGCAAGCCUGAUCCAGCAAUGCCGCGUGAGUGAAGAAGGCCUUCGGGUUGUAAAGCUCUUUCAGUCGAGAAGAAAGGGCUACGGUAAAUAAUCGUAGUUCAUGACGGUACCGACAGAAGAAGCACCGGCUAACUACGUGCCAGCAGCCGCGGUAAUACGUAGGGUGCGAGCGUUAAUCGGAAUUACUGGGCGUAAAGGGUGCGCAGGCGGCUUUGUAAGUCAGAUGUGAAAUCCCCGGGCUUAACCUGGGAAUUGCGUUUGAAACUACAAAGCUAGA